rnacentral:rRNA from 1 species
AUCGAACGCUGGCGGCAUGCCUUACACAUGCAAGUCGAACGGUAACGGGCCUAAGGGUGCCGCCGAGUGGUGGACGGGUGAGUAAUACAUCGGCACGUGGCCGAUCGCGGGGGGUAAGGAGGCGAAAGCUUUGCUAACACCGCAUACGAUCUACGGAUGAAAGCCGGGGACCGCAAGGCCUUGCGCGGACGGAGCGGCCGAUGGCAGACUAGGUAGAUGGUGGGAUAAAAGCUUACCAAGCCGACGAUCUGUAGCUGGUCUGAGAGGAUGAUCAGCCACACUGGGACUGAGACACGGCCCACACUCCUACGCGAGGCAGCAGUCGGGAAUUUUGGACAAUGAGCGCGAGCCUGAUCCAGCAAUGCCGCGUGCACGAUGACGGCCUUCGGGUUGUAUACUGCUUAUGUACGGACCGAAGAGCGUUCUUGUAAUACUGGAGGGUCAUGACGGUACCGCAAGAAUAAGCACCGGCUAACUACGUG